GGGUGGGGUUUAGGAUUUAGGGUUUAGGGUUUAUGGUUUAGAGUUUAGGGUUUAAGGUUUAGGGUUUAGGGUUUAGAGUUUAGGGUUUAGGGUUUAGAGUUUAGGGUUUAGGGUUUAGAGUUGAGAAAUGAGGUUUUGGGGAUAAGAUUUCAAAUUUGGAAAAAUAAAAAAAUUAAAAUUUUCAAAGGAUAAACUUAGAAAGGUGCUACUUUGGUCAUUUUAGUUUUUGAGU
rnacentral:lncRNA from 1 species